CCCUUAGAUGUUCUGGGCCGCACGCGCGCUACACUGACGAAGUCAGCGAGCAUGUCCUACGCCGACAGGUGCGGGGAAUCUUGUCAAACUUCGUCGUGAUGGGGAUUGAUUUUUGAAAUUCUUGAUCAUCAACGAGGAAUUCCUAGUAAGCGCAAGUCAGCAGCUUGCGUUGAUUACGUCCCUGCCCUUUGUACACACCGCCCGUCGCUACUACCGAUUGAAUGGUUUAGUGAGAUCUUCGGAUUGGCGCCACUGUGGCUCAGCAAUGGGCUCGGUGGAUGCCGAAAAGUUGAUCAAACUUGAUCAUUUAGAGGAAGUAAAAGUCGUAACA
rnacentral:rRNA from 1 species